rnacentral:rRNA from 1 species
CCUACGGGAGGCAGCAGUGAGGAAUAUUGGUCAAUGGGCGAGAGCCUGAACCAGCCAAGUCGCGUGAGGGAGUACUGCCCUAUGGGUUGUAAACCUCUUUUGUCGGGGAGCAAAAGCCGGACGUGUCCGGCUGUGAGAGUACCCGAAGAAAAAGCAGCGGCUAACUCCGUGCCAGCAGCCGCGGUAAUACGGAGGAUGCGAGCGUUAUCCGGAUUUAUUGGGUUUAAAGGGUGCGCAGGCGGAUUUUUAAGUCAGCGGUAAAAUCGUGGGGCUCAACCCAUCCAGCCGUUGAAACUGGGGAUCUAGAGUGUGCGAGAGGUAUGCGGAAUGCGUGGUGUAGCGGUGAAAUGCAUAGAUAUCACGCAGAACCCCGAUUGCGAAGGCAGCAUACCGGUGCACAACUGACGCUCAGGCACGAAAGCGUGGGUAUCGAACAGGAUUAGAUACCCUUGUAGUC